AAUAAAANGCCUGAAAAAAGGAUUAUCUUGAUAGGAUAAAUUAUGUAAAUGUAUUUUACUUUUAUUA
rnacentral:tRNA from 1 species